rnacentral:rRNA from 1 species
GAUGAACGCUGGCGGCGUGCCUAACACAUGCAAGUCGAGCGAUCUUCUUUCGGAAGAGAGCGGCGGACGGGUGAGUAACGCGUGGGUAACCUGCCCUGUACACACGGAUAACAUACCGAAAGGUAUGCUAAUACGAGAUAAUAUGCUUUUAUCGCAUGGUAGAAGUAUCAAAGCUCCGGCGGUACAGGAUGGACCCGCGUCUGAUUAGCUAGUUGGUAAGGUAACGGCUUACCAAGGCGACGAUCAGUAGCCGACCUGAGAGGGUGAUCGGCCACAUUGGAACUGAGACACGGUCCAAACUCCUACGGGAGGCAGCAGUGGGGAAUAUUGCACAAUGGGCGAAAGCCUGAUGCAGCAACGCCGCGUGAGCGAUGAAGGCCUUCGGGUCGUAAAGCUCUGUCCUCAAGGAAGAUAAUGACGGUACUUGAGGAGGAAGCCCCGGCUAACUACGUAGCCAG